rnacentral:tRNA from 1 species
GUUUUAAUAAUUUAAAUAAAAAUAUUGGUCUUGUAAACCAAAAAUAAAGAAAUUUUUAAAACU